rnacentral:siRNA from 1 species
GAUAAUGUUCGCUACAACUACCA